UACGUAGGGGGCGAGCGUUGUCCGGAUUUAUUGGGCGUAAAGGGCUCGUAGGCGGUUUGUCGCGUCGGGAGUGAAAACUCAGGGCUUAACCCUGAGCCUGCUUCCGAUACGGGCAGACUAGAGGUAUGCAGGGGAGAACGGAAUUCCUGGUGUAGCGGUGAAAUGCGCAGAUAUCAGGAGGAACACCGGUGGCGAAGGCGGUUCUCUGGGCAUUACCUGACGCUGAGGAGCGAAAGUGUGGGGAGCGAACAGG
rnacentral:rRNA from 1 species